UCGAGCGGUAGCACAGGGGAGCUUGCUCCCUGGGUGACGAGCGGCGGACGGGUGAGUAAUGUCUGGGAAACUGCCUGAUGGAGGGGGAUAACUACUGGAAACGGUAGCUAAUACCGCAUAACGUCGCAAGACCAAAGAGGGGGACCUUCGGGCCUCUUGCCAUCAGAUGUGCCCAGAUGGGAUUAGCUAGUAGGUGGGGUAAUGGCUCACCUAGGCGACGAUCCCUAGCUGGUCUGAGAGGAUGACCAGCCACACUGGAACUGAGACACGGUCCAGACUCCUACGGGAGGCAGCAGUGGGGAAUAUUGCACAAUGGGCGCAAGCCUGAUGCAGCCAUGCCGCGUGUGUGAAGAAGGCCUUCGGGUUGUAAAGCACUUUCAGCGAGGAGGAAGGUGGUGAGCUUAAUACGCUCAUCAAUUGACGAAAAUCACCGGGCUCAACCUGGGAACUGCAUUUGAAACUGGCAAGGUUGAAGUCUUGUAGAGGGGGGUAGAAUUUCAGGUGUAGCGGUGAAAAUGCGUAGAGAAUCUGGAUGAAUACCGGUGGCGAAGGCGGCCCCCUGGACGAAGACUGACGCUCAGGUGCGAAAG
rnacentral:rRNA from 1 species